rnacentral:rRNA from 1 species
UCUACGGGUGGCAGCAGUGAGGAAUAUUGGUCAAUGGACGAGAGUCUGAACCAGCCAAGUAGCGUGAAGGAUGACUGCGCUAUGGGUUGUAAACUUCUUUUAUAUGGGAAUAAAAUGUUCCACGUGUGGGAUUUUGUAUGUACCAUAUGAAUAAGGAUCGGCUAACUCCGUGCCAGCAGCCGCGGUAAUACGGAGGAUCCGAGCGUUAUCCGGAUUUAAUGGGUUUAAAGGGAGCGUAGGUGGAGUGUUAAGUCAGUUGUGAAAGGUUGCGGCUCAACCGUAAAAUUGCAGUUGAAACUGGCAGUCUUGAGUACAGUAGAGGUGGGCGUAAUGCGUAGUGUAGCGGUGAAAUGCUUAGAUAUAACGAAGAACUCCGAUUGCGAAGGCAGCUCACUGGACUGCAACUGACGCUGAGGCUCGAAAGUGUGGGUAUCAAACAGGAUUAGAUACCCGUGUAGUA